rnacentral:rRNA from 1 species
GACGAACGCUGGCGGCGUGCUUAACACAUGCAAGUCGAACGAAGUGGCGAACGGGUGAGUAAUACGUGGGUAACCUGCCCUCCUUUUUGGGAUAAGCCUUGGAAACGGGGUCUAAUACCGAAUAAAGGGGGAGGGGCUCGCGGCCUAUCAGCUUGUUGGUGGGGUGAUGGCCUACCAAGGCGUUGACGGGUAGCCGGCAUGAGAGGGGGACCUGCCACAUUGGGAGUGAGAUACGGCCCAGACUCCGAAGGGAGGCAGCAGUGGGGGAUAUGGCAGAAUGGGUGAAAGACUGAUGCAGCGACGCCGCGUGGGGGAUGAAGGCGUUCGGGUUGUAAACCUCUUUCGCAAGCGAACGGGUAGGUGGAGAAGAAGCGCCGGCUAACUACGUGCCAGCAGCCGCGGUAAUUC